GUGCUCGCUUCGGCAGCACAUAUACUAAAAUUGGAACCAUACAGAGAAGAUUAGCAUGGCCCCUGCACAACGAUGACACAAAUUCAUGAAGUGUUCCAUAUUAAA
rnacentral:snRNA from 1 species